AUACGGAGGGGGCUAGCGUUGUUCGGAAUUACUGGGCGUAAAGCGCACGUAGGCGGACUGAUCAGUUGGGGGUGAAAUCCCAGGGCUCAACCCUGGAACUGCCUUCAAUACUGUCAGUCUUGAGAUUGGAAGAGGUGAGUGGAAUUCCUAGUGUAGAGGUGAAAUUCAUAGAUAUUAGGAGGAACACCAGUGGCGAAGGCGGCUCACUGGUCCAAUACUGACGCUGAGGUACGAAAGCGUGGGGAGCAAACAGGAUUAGAAACCCUAGUAGUCC
rnacentral:rRNA from 1 species